CACCCUUUUCUAUUUAUGUUUGCAAAUUAGGGUUUUCUGUUUGGUAUACCGAGCUCCAAAAGAGGAACUUUCUGGAAGUGCUUUUUUGCGCUCAGGAUUGGAUCGCCCUGUUCGAUGCUACAACCCGGAAACGGUAAUUUUACAUACGCCCUUUUCGUCCUAAAUUUGUCUCAAUACCAAUUUGGGAUAUUUUCUGGAAUUUAACUGCCUUGCUGAAUGGUUAUCCUUUUUACUGCAGUGAAUUUCUUGUAACAGGGGAAAUGCAACGACUGCUCUCUAUAUAAACCAUCUGUUUUGCAGGGCUAACCAUAACUUUUUUGGUUGAAAUUACAGUGUAACAAGUAGAUGUAAUCUCUGCAUUGCUAGGUGGAACCUGAGUAACCUUGGGUGGGGAUAUAUUUGCAUCGCUAUGACUGGAAUUUGCCCUUGGAGGAGUCUUGUGAAUUGGUAGGGAUAGACUUCUGAGGCUGAUUAAAUAAGCAUUUCAACACUAGAGCCUUGAACCACUUGAUACAAAAGUUUGCAGCAGAUGAUUGAGUUGCAGAAGAAGGAUGAUAAGCUACUGCUAACAUACUGUCAAGAUUGGAACUGAAGGUUUGGUUCCACUUCAUCGACUGAAAUACGACUGGCUUCUAUCCGAUGCUGCACUUCUAAAGCCUUUUACUGAAGAACUAUGUAUGAAAGCUUGUAUGGAAGAUUGCUUGUGUUAUGUGGCUAUUUUCAGGUUGGGUAAUAGUUGCUGGAAGAAGAAGUUAACACUCUCAAAUGGGAGAGUUGAUACCACACUUGAAGGUGCCAAGGCCUUCUUGAAACGCCUCUAUUUUUCAGUACAAGAAGAAGCUUAGAAGUGUCAUCAAAAGUGACACUUAUGUUGAAACCAAUUUACGUUGCUUCACUUUCGAAGAGCUUGAAGAAGCUACUAAUGGAUUUGACAAAGAGCUAGGAAAGGGAGCUUUUGGUAUUGUUUAUGAAGGAGUCGUCAACAACAACACAUGUUCCGAAACUCGUGUGGCUGUGAAAAAGUUGAACAAUUUUUGUUGGAUCAAGCCCAUCGAGAAUUCAGGAAUGAACUGAAUGUCAUUGGUCUCACUCAUCACAAGAACUUGGUUCGUUUACUUGGAUUUUGUGAGGGUGGAUCUGGAAGAUUGCUUGUUUAUGAGUACAUGAGCAAUGGCACUUUGGCAAGCUUACUUUUCAAUGAUGAAGAGUGCAUUACUAGGAUCAUCCAUUGUGACAUAAAGCCUCAGAACAUACUUCUUGAUGAUUACUUCAAUGCGAGAAUUUCUGACUUUGGACUAACCAAGUUGAUGAACAUGAAUCAAAGCAAAACCAACACUGGCAUUAGGGGAACAAAAGGGUAUGUCGCACUUGAAUGGUUUAAGAACAUGCCUAAUCACAGCUCAAGUGGAUGUGUAUAGUUAUGGUGUAGUGUUACUUGAGAUAAUUUCAUGUAGAAGAUGUGUUCAAGAAAUGGAUGAUGAAGAUGAAGAGAAAGCUAUACUGACAGAUUGGGCUUAUGAUUGUUACAAAGAUGGUGCUGUAAGUGCAUUGGUUGUCAAGUCAUCCAGAAUGCCAUAGAUGUUGUUGAUCUGAAGAUGCAAUCGACCUUAUUGUCUCGACUUUUUUUUUUGAUCAAGUUGUGACAUUAUCAACCCAUCCAUAUGGU